GGUGGUUAUCGUGUGAUGCACCCCGGAAUUGGGCUCCCUCCUCUCUGGUUCCUGGUGGGUCACCCGAGAACUGCA
rfam:Myotis lucifugus cont2.29606, whole genome shotgun sequence.